rnacentral:rRNA from 1 species
GAUGAACGCUGGCGGCGUGCCUAAUACAUGCAGGUCGAGCGAACGGACGAGAAGCUUGCUCCUCUGAUGUUAGCGGCGGACGGGUGAGUAACACGUGGAUAACCUACUUAUAAGACUGGGAUAACUUCGGGAAACAGGAGCUACUACCGCAUAAUAUUUUGUACCGCAUGGUUCAAAAGUGAAACACGGUCUUGCUGUCACUUUUAGAUGGAUCCGCGCUGCAUUAGCUAGUUGGUAAGGUAACGGCUCACCAAGGCAACGAUGCGUAGCUGACCUGAGAGGAUGAUCAGCCACACUGGAACUGAGACACGGUCCAGACUCCUACGGGAGGCAGCAGUGGGGAAUCUUGGACAAUGGGCGAAAGCCUGAUCGAGCAAUACCGCGUGGGUGAAGAAGGCCUUCGGGUCGUAAAACCCUGUUAUUAGGAAAGAAAAGCAGUGGAAUAAACUGUCGCUGUUCUGACGGUACCUAAACAAAAAGCAACGGCUAACUACGUG